UACGAAGGGGGCUAGCGUUGCUCGGAAUCACUGGGCGUAAAGCGCACGUAGGCGGGUCUUUAAGUCAGGGGUGAAAUCCUGGAGCUCAACUCCAGAACUGCCUUUGAUACUGAGGAUCUCGAGUCCGGGAGAGGUGAGUGGAACUCCGAGUGUAGAGGUGAAAUUCGUAGAUAUUCGGAAGAACACCAGUGGCGAAGGCGGCUCACUGGCCCGGUACUGACGCUGAGGCACGAAAGUGUGGGGAUCAAACAGG
rnacentral:rRNA from 1 species